UACAGAGGGUGCAAGCGUUAAUCGGAAUUACUGGGCGUAAAGCGCACGUAGGUGGGUGCUUAAGUCGAAUGUGAAACCCCCCGAGCUUAACUUGGGAACUGCAUGCGAUACUGAACACCUAGAGUAUAGUAGAGGGAAGUGGAAUUUCCGGAGUAGCGGUGAAAUGCGUAGAUAUCGGAAGGAACAUCAGUGGCGAAGGCAGCCUUCUGGUCCAGUACUGACACUCAAGUGCGAAAAGCGUGGGGAGCAAACAGG
rnacentral:rRNA from 1 species